GAAGAGCAACAAGAUGGUGAGCUUGCUCCAACCAGCUCCAUGCCGUGCGUACAGCCCCCGCACUGGGACCCAGGGGAGGACAGCUUGCUGCCAGUCAGCAGACUACUCAUUCCCAGACCCUGAGGGUCUCCUUGCUUCAUCGGUGGAUGAGGCUCCCAAGGAAGCCCACCUGAAAGGCUGUGGCUGAGGAGUGGGAUUGUGGGGCAGGAGCCCGCUUUGUUCCCUCAGCUGUAAAGCAAGCAGAGAGAGGACCUUCUGCAGCUCAGGAAGAAAAAUGCUGUUAAGAAUUCUGCCCCACUUCUUGAAUCUGGACUGCCAGGUGACUGCUCUUUUGACCACAGCGUCUAACGAUGAGCUAUGCCUUACUAGCCCCUGCCACUCAUUCGGCUGCAGUGGAUUUGGAUCACUGGUCAAGCACCAGGAUACCUACACCCCCCUGCAAAAUAACGUCUGCUCACUUAUGUGUCAACAUGUGGCUUUGCAUUUGCUCCCCAAUCAGAAAACUGUGGUUUGCUUCUUUUUUUUCCUUCCUUUUAAAAAGGUAUCUUGUUUUUUAAGACUUGUGGUUGAAUGUUUUUGGCUUCAUUUUGAUAAUUAACAGAGAAGGCAAGUUACAUUCAUCAUUUUAGUUCUCAUACGGACUUUGUUUGGGUUCCCAGGCAAUCUCUAGUCAUUAAGGGAUAAAACUCAACUUCUUUCCAAACCACGAAGGGGCGAAGAGAUUCUUCCUGGCCUUGCUGGUUAAUUAAGCCGGAGAAUAGGCUUGGAUGACAGGGCAUGCUUUGUUUCCCUGAACUUCUGAAUGGCUUUGUGUUCUCAGAAGCCCCAACAGAUGCUGGCCUGGAAUCCAAUCAGUCUCCUGGUGAGAAUCAAGGAAACAGGGCUGAUCCCAGAUUUGAUGGGAAUGGGACAACUGGAACCAAAUCUCUGGCUGUGGCUGCCUGAGGAAAUCGGAGGGAUUUGUAUUUGCCUGACCUUCCUUUUGAACUUUAUUUUGAGCAAACACAGAACGCUUCUCAGGGUGGAAGACGACAAUUCAGCAAGAAAACAAGGGGGCAUGUGGCAUGCUACGGCACCCAAACAAGCAACAGGCAGUCAUGCAUUCACUUACUGUGGGGUCGGUCCAGAGAGAGCAUCUUGAACACUCCUGGCAAGGGGCUCCCGGCGAGCGAGGAUGCUGGCAGAAAUGGUCAUAUCCACUGAUAGAUACUCGACAGAGG